AUCUAGUAAAUAAAUAUUUUUGUCAAAAUUAAAAUUUAUCAUAAGUUUAGAAACAUGGUUGUGCAUUCAUGCUGGAAUUUAUUUAUUUAUUUUCUUGCUUGUUUGUUUAUUCUCUAUGUAUUUUGUUUAUCUCUAAAAAGGAUUUAAAAUCUCUUUUCAAAAAGACUUUAGAAAACAAAGAAGAAAAUAGAAAAAAAAGAAAAAAAGAAAAGACAAACCCACCCUCGCAACCUAGGCCGAAGCCAGCCCACCUGGUUUCCCCCUCCCUCCUUUCCUCUCACUGCCACUCUGGGCCCGCACGUCAGCGUCACCAGCUCCCUUCUUCUUCCUGGAACGUGACCAAGCAGGUUUCCCCACCGUAUGGGACCGAGCCAAUCCCGUUUUCCACGGGAUUUGAUUUUUCCUGAGCCUGUUUUAGCCUUGGCCUUUCCUCACCGCGUCUCUAUUUCCAUCUACAAGCGUCCAGAGGUAAUCAACCUGCUCCCCGACGCCGUUUUGGAACUCGGUGAACACAAGAGCAAACCGGCGCCGCCAUCACCGAGUUUCAUUGCACUCUGGUUGUUGUAAGCCCCAUGCCGAGCUUUGUGAUGCCCUUGCGGAGCCGCCAGACCUAUUCCAACAUUGUCUAGUGCUUCUAGUGUCUCUCUAAUCGACGCC
rnacentral:lncRNA from 1 species